rnacentral:rRNA from 1 species
AUGUAUCUUAUCUUACGCCACUUACUCUAGUUUUACUUUGUGGAAGACGUCCGAUUGAAUGAUCUCUAGUGGGUUCUAUUACCAACUGUACGCAGGCAUGUUUCCUUCUUAUUUUACCAGCCUCCAUGGUUCCGUCAGUGUAGAGGAAAGUCAUCAAUCCCCUGA